UACGAAGGGGGCUAGCGUUGCUCGGAUCACUGGGCGUAAAGGGUGCGUAGGCGGGUCUUUAAGUCAGGGGUGAAAUCCUGGAGCUCAACUCCAGAACUGCCUUUGAUACCGAAGAUCUUGAGUUCGGGAGAGGUGAGUGGAACUGCGAGUGUAGAGGUGAAAUUCGUAGAUAUUCGCAAGAACACCAGUGGCGAAGGCGGCUCACUGGCCCGGUACUGACGCUGAGGUGCGAAAGCGUGGGGAGCAAACAGG
rnacentral:rRNA from 1 species